CCUANGGGUGGCAGCAGUGGGGAAUAUUGGACAAUGGGCGAAAGCCUGAUCCAGCAAUGCCGCGUGAGUGAUGAAGGCCUUAGGGUUGUAAAGCUCUUUUACCCGGGAUGAUAAUGACAGUACCGGGAGAAUAAGCCCCGGCUAACUCCGUGCCAGCAGCCGCGGUAAUACGGAGGGGGCUAGCGUUGUUCGGAAUUACUGGGCGUAAAGCGCGCGUAGGCGGCUUUGUAAGUCAGAGGUGAAAGCCUGGAGCUCAACUCCAGAACUGCCUUUGAAACUACAUCGCUAGAAUCAUGGAGAGGUUAGUGGAAUUCCUAGUGUAGAGGUGAAAUUCGUAGAUAUUCGGAAGAACACCAGUGGCGAAGGCGACUAACUGGACAUGUAUUGACGCUGAGGUGCGAAAGCGUGGGGAGCAAACAGGAUUAGAUACCCUANUANUC
rnacentral:rRNA from 1 species